GGCUUUUUGCAUAAAUCUUAAGCUGUAAGCAGAAUUCCUUUAAUGAUUAACAAGUCUACAUGCAGGGCUAAGCAGAGGCUUAUGGCUCAGGUUAAAGCAGCAGAAGAGAGACAUAAUACAGAGUCAGAGAUGCCAAGUUACUUCUUCCUUUUGGGAGGAAACUAGUCUUUUGUGGCCACGAAUGGAAGAGAAGUAGGGGGUGUGCAGGGCCUCUGGACAGAGGCUCAUCUUCCAGGGCUGGGGUCUCUCUGGGACCACACAUACCUCCAUUGCCUGCUUGGGCCAACAGAGCUUCUCAAGCCACCUGCUCCCAGUUUGCUGAACGCCAGGUGAUGUCAGUCUUCAACAGCAGCACAUCAGACUGAGAUUCUGAAUUGGAACCUGUGCCUGCAGGUGAUUCUCAUGUAACGUAAUGUUUGGGACCCACUGGCUAAAUGCUGAAGAGAACAUUUCACCCGGAGAAAGCUGAGUAGACACAAGAGUGGUCUUCCUGGCCGUCUCGAGGGAGAGUCCUGCAACCAGACGCUCCUUUUCAGAAUGGGAAUAUGGCUUUGUGACAAGUCACAAAAUAGGGAGAGGAUUCAUCUUAACAAAAGACCUUUACCUUCAGGAAUGUUUGCCACAAGUUCUGUGAUAGGAAGAUGACAUGGCAGAUUCAGUGGUCAAGGAGCUUGGAUGGUCUUGGACUCAGGCGCCCUGACAAUGGUCUGUAGAACAAGAUGAGGUGGAUGUCUUUCUGGGAAGACUGAGAAGGCAAGUUCAUUUACCUGGAAGACAGGAGACGUUCAGCCUCAAGGCAAGAGAGAAGCAAAAGCUGACAAAGCAAACCCUGCAGGACACUCGGGUCUAAAUCACUCUCACUGAGAAACCCGCACCCUGGCAGCUUGCAGCAGAUGGAGAAAUGUCCGCACGAUUUCAGAGCCCAAUGUGAUACAGACGGCGGGAGAGUCAGGACCUCCUAGCUGAGCACUGCUGCUCCUCGGGAGACACCUUACAGAACCUUUAGAAAUGCGAUCCAGACAAGAUAGCCAUCCCCGCGGAGGGUGCUAAGCAAAUAUACAACACACAGGCUAAGCCCACAAACAACCAACAAUAUACCGCCAUCAACAUGGCCUCAGAAUCCUACUUAACACAAUGUUCCCAGCAGCAACACCUGGGCUCUCAAAAUAAAACCCGUUUGGAGAGGCAGAACUAGGUUAGGGGGUUGUAAAUAUGGGUUCCCUCAAGCAUCGGAAGCUCGUUUCUCUGCAGAACUCAUUCGAGGAUUCAACAAAUAGUAACGUGGCUACCACGAGCUGGCCCCGUACGUCACACUGCAGUGGCCAGCAAGCCGGACGGGCCUGAGUGGGCUCAGGAGGCUUACACUUGAGAGAAGGCAGCAGCUUAGCAAGGACUGAAAUCUGAUACUACCACGAGAGAGUAAUAAAGAGAACCCUGUUAGGCAGCAUGGUCAGGGACGAUCACACAGUGCAGAUCCCCGGGAAGGACAGGGUACCUGCACGAGCGGUGAACCUGCUGGAGGCCAGUGACUGGAGACAGUGAGGAAGCGACCAACGAGAAGGCGAGAGGGGGAGGAGCGGGUGGCUCUCCCUUCCCUGCAGGCCCAGAGGCGCAAAUGCUGCCAGAGAUGAGAGACGGGUGAUUCACUGGUCAUAUCACCCUUGUUCCGCACCAACUUUUUGCUCAGCUUAGAACAGUAGCUGGGUGAAGAGGCAGUAAGCCCAGACUUGGCACGGAGAAGAGCAGCUGGGCCCAGCUUUGCCUCUGAGCCUGGGCAGCGCUGCCGCCUGGCCUGAGUUUUGCUUACCGAGUCCCUCCCUCACCUUAACAUCAGGCCCUGCUAACAGGAAACUUUCCACAGAAAAGCAGGGGAGGCUCAAGCUAUUUGCACAAGUGGCGAGCACCAUGGAGCAGUGAGGACCCGGGCUGACCUCACCAACUUCUCUCCGAACGUCCACCAUUUGGUUGGCAGAGCUAAAGGAGCGCCCCUGGCGCCAGCCAGCCAGGGGCCUGGCACCAGGAUCCACGUGUUGGCAGAUGAGAAAUGACCAACAGAAAAAUCUGUAUUCCAAGGGUACUCACCACCCUGCUGGAUUGGUCCUGCUUCCUUCUUUCCACGGGGCGAUCGUUCUGCCUCUGGUUACAAAACCGCACCUUCUGAAGGGGCAGCGCACCCCCUGGCAGUAACCUCCCCUCUGUCACUUACAAAUCCAUUCAUUUCCAAUGGAGCUGUUCCAGUGCCCUUCAAAGAACCUGGCCCGUGUGAGCUGCACAAACAAAUUAGGAGCCAGCCUUUCCCAAAUGCCUCUAUUUCAUUUAAAAACCUUCUUUAAUGAAGAUAUAAGGCCUUGGAUGAGGCUGAAACACCAGCUUACCAUGCAUGACAGCAGAUUUUUCUCACAGACGAUUUCCAGUGCCUGUAAAACUUUUUAAAUACCUGACGGCUUAAAAGGAAAGAAACAGAUUUCCUUGUUAUGGGCUCAAUUGUUCAUUUUAUAUACCCUGUAAGUGACCAUAAUCCAAAAAAUCAGCACAGACAAUAGAGAUGUAAGGCGACUUCAAACACGCACAUACCCUGCUUUGUCAGAGUGGAAAAUUAAAAUGCAAUGCCAGGCCCGUGACUAUUUCGAAGCAUCAGGCUAGAAAAGAGAUACCCUCACCUUUUUCAGCUUCCUACUGUGCAUCUCCCAAUUAUUUAUUACUGAGAUGCUCCUGAGGCACCAUAAACACACACACACAUGCAAAAACCCCAGGCCUGGCUCACAUAUAUAUGGCUUGAUUUUAAAAUAUUAGUAUCUUUGCUCUUCCCAUUAAAGCUGAAAAUAUUGUUGGGAGUUAUAACUUCAUGAAUGAAAAACCCAUAAAAAUCUUUUAAGAGACCUAAUCUUUUAAUUAAUCUCACCUCAGUGCUGCUCAAGGGUUUAAACGAAUUUGGUUGGUUUUAAAAGAUAAAAGAUCAGAAUGCUUUAAAAUAGCUUCUUAUAAUUUCAGUACCUACUUAAAGGUCCAAAAAGGAAUACUUGAAAAAUGCCUCGUCCUAGAAUCAGGGUUCAAGACAGAUCUUUAAAAAUCUCCGGUCCAAACCGCAAGGUGACAUCUAUAUCCCUUCUGCCAUAGUGCUUCCAAGGGGCGCUCAUGCCCUGGCUGCAGGGCUCCAGGGGUGAACAUGUUACUGCUCCCCCAGACAACCUGACCCUCGUAGCUGUGCUAGGAGACUGUUCUGCCAUCUCCCUUCCCCCAACUUCUAUCCCUGAGUCCUAGCUUCAGCUCUUAAGAGUCACAGAGCACAAGGUCAAGUACAUGUAAAAAAAAAUACUACUUUUGAGUAUUAGUGAAUUUGAGCUACAUUUAAAUAUGGCAAACCCAUGGGCUAGAGAGGAUAUAAACCCUCAGGGGUGCUCUGGCACUGCUGGCGAGAGAGUAUAUUGAAGCAACCUCUUAGGAAAACAGUUUGGCAUUACCUCCUGAAGUUGACGUUCACAGCACCCUCUAACCCAGCAAUACCACACCCAGGGGUGCACCUGAGAGGCAUUCUUGCUCACAUACGUGAGACUUUUCAAAGCAGCUCUGAUUAAAAUAGCAAAACCCAGGACAUGACCACUCGUCUUCAGAAAGUAGAUGACUACAAUGGGAUACAUUCACAUCAUGGAAUAUUGCACAGUGACCAUAAUAAUUAUCUGAUAGACAAUUAGGCCAUAUGGACUAAUCUUAAUAACAUACUAUUAAGGAAAAAAAUUAUUCCCAAAAGAUAAUAUGCAGCAUGAUCUUUUGUCUUUUUUUUUUUACAAAGUUGAAAGUAUAUGUUUUUGAGUUGUUUUUUAGGAACACAUACAGAUGCCUAAAACGCUGUAAAAAGAAGUGAAGCAGUGGGGACCAAGGGACUCAGGGUGAUGGAGAGCUCGGUGAGGGGAAGGCAGGGGAGAGGAUGGAGUGUGGGCCUAUGACAUGGUUAGAUGUAGGACAUCAAAAUCGUGGCUUUUGUUCUGCGUGAUAGGGUAUGAAGAUACUCACUGGCCAUUAACUGUAACUGCUUACAUAAUGUCUAAAAGCAGGCCCUGAAUGAAAGCAAACAGAAAUGACCGUCCAUGGGCAGCAGGUGGGAUUACAACACAGGAUGGCUGCCACUCCCCUCACUCCGGAAAGCCUGCUUCCAUUCCGGGAGCCUCUGUAAGAAUUACAACAUAGCGUCUGCCGUGUAGAAGCACUGAAGUCAUUAAUUGGAUUCCAGAUGUCUGGAAUGGAUUUAUCCCUUCACUGCAUCCCCCAGCCCGGGAUCUAUUUUGGGUCUAACACUUCACACAGGGUGCUGUUCUUAAUUAAACCUGCUCUGCCUUCAGAGCUUUAUGUCUGUGAGACAGUCCUCCAAACGUUCUCCUCUCCGUAAAUUUGCUCUUAUGUCCUGUUUCUGAAGCAAAAGUAAUACUUGCUGGGAUUUUAAUAAACAUGUCUGCGGUAGAAAUACAGAUUUCACACGCUUCCUACAUUCCACAGUCCUCUUCUUUAUGCCGAUUCCCACACCAAGCCUGCACUUUAGGGGCUUUGCAGUUUAAGCUCCAUUUCUGCUGCCCACCAGUGGGGGCAACGAAAAGGAUGCUGAUCGCUCUUUAGGUUGGAAACACAGACACGAUGUUGAAAAAAGUCAUUAAUUUCCAAGCGACACUGUGCCUCUCCCACUGUAACGUUUGCUAACGUUUGCUUUUGGUGACAUCUGACUCCCGCUCACUGACAUUAGACUGAAGCACAGUAGCCAAGUUACCUGUCCAACAUCUGCGACUGGUUCCUAAUUUGUUACUCAGCCUGUGUCUACUGGAAGCCAAAAUGGAAAAUGUUUAAAAAUCAAGCAAACUAAUUUUUUGCCAUCCAAGAGGCAAAACAACCUGCUGACUGACUGUCCUUUCACUUUGCAAAUGGUUAUUUGAGCCUCAGGUGGAGGGGCGACUCAUCUACUUAUAAAACAAGUCAGAUUCGAGACUUAAUUUUUUUUUUCAGCCAAAAGGCAGCUGAAUCUCGAGAAGCAAACACUGCUUUAAGGAAAAUGAACGCCUGGCCGAGGUGGGAUGCUCUUAGUCCAAUACUAGGGGCCCUUCUGCUCUAGGGAAGUGGAGACAUAGAAGGAUAGGGGGCCCAGGAUUACAGACAGCAUCAUUCUGUUGUUCUGCGACUUUUGUUAUUAUUGGCGGAGCUCUGAUGAGUGCCUGCUGAGUACCAGGUAUGGAGGUGAUCUCAUUCCAUCCUCCUCAGAGUACCUGCCUCAUGGUGCCGGCUUCUCCACUUGCAGGUGAGGAAAUUAAGGCUCGGAGAUGCGAUCUUGCAGCUCGUGGGUGGUGGGACCUGCAUCCCCUCUCUCAGAAAACAGUACUGAACAUCUGCUACACACCGGGGACUAGUCUGAGGAAUGUAAACCAAAGCCCUGUUGCCUACAGAACCUCCUUGGAUCAUCGGUAGGGUGGGCAGGAGGCAUAACACUGUUGUCCCCGUUUUACAGAGAAGGAAACAAAGGUUCAGAGAAAUUAAGUGAAUUGCUUGAGUCUCCUGCAGUCUUGGGCUGAAAGACUCAGCAUGUUUCUCUAUAAAAAAGGACCCUCUAUUAAAAACAACAGGGGCAGCCUGCAUGUGGUUCCUGCAUUGGGACGUCACAACUGAGGACGCGCGUGCUGGAGGAUCCCUUAUUCAAAAGCAGAAAUUAAAUUCUGGGUAACGGUCCAGCGUGGCUUCAGCUCAGACUUUCCACCCUUGCUGUCUGUGCUCCGGUCCAGAAUCGCUGGUCCCUGACUCGGCUUUCUUGGUGUGACUGGCCCUCACUUACCACUUACCCGCAUCUCUCAGCCCCGUGCAUGUUUCCAUCCUACUUAAGUAGAAGUGGUUCUUUAGACAACCUGCCCCAUCUGUCAGCACCAGCCUCGCACAUGGAACACACUGCUUCCCCUGCGCCCCCACGGCUCUCCCCGGGGGCCCUUUUAUGAGGUUCCAUUUCAGGACGGUUAUCCUGUUGUGAGCGCUUUCCCAUAUGUCUGUCUUCCCCACUAACCUAGAGGUUCUGUGAGCCGAGAGCCACUGCUCAUUAACAAUGUUCAGUCUUUCCUUAACUUUCAAAACGUCAGUGCCACAUGGUUCAAUCUAAUACCUUAGCAGCGACCUUACAAAACUAGAGCUAGGAACAUAACUGGUGUCCACGGAACACUUCUUGUCCCAAGAAACCAACCAUAACAGAUACUCAGACAGUUACCACCAUCGUCAGUCCUCAAGGAAGGCUGUGAUUAUGUCCUCUAGGCCAAAUGCUAUAAUGCUAAUGCAGAAACGGAGACAAGACGCUGUGAAGGAGGACACAGGACAAACCAAGAUUUCUUUGCAGCCCACAUCAACCUGAAACUUAACUAGUUUUACCUAACUGUAUUUCAAGGGGACAAUAAACUUAUGAAGGCUCUGAGUAGAGAGCCGAACUGUGGGCAUCCCUGGUCUGUGACGAUGACUUCCCAGUGGCAUCUCCCCUCCUUCAAGGACAGCUGGGGAGAAAAACACAGUGAGCAGGAGGCAAAUGAAAGAUACGCUUGUGCCCACUUGGAGGUCAGCAUCCCACCCUUCCUUGUGAUCCGUCAUUAAUGACAAUUUCAUUUCUUCAGAGGCUGGAAAAUCACCACAGAGGCUGGCCUCAGUGGUCCCACAGCUGAUCCUCCUUUGAAGGAAAAGCUUGAGAGAAAAUGGAGACAACAGAGUGGCCAGGCCCCCGUUUUGUCUGUGCUCCACCGGGGAGUGCCUACAGUCACGUCCCUUUCCUGCGCCAGCCCCGUACUGAUGCCCUCCCGUCUUACACUGGCUGGGGGUGGGGGGUGGGGCGUCACCUCACCCUGCAAGAUGCCUGCCAGUUUCUACAAAGUUCCUUCUCAUCGUGGACACUCUUUUCCAUGGAUUCUUCAUUGUAUAUGUGCACAGGCUGUGUCAAAUGGAGCUUCCUGUGCCUCUGCUCACAGUGCAUUACAUUUUUAAUCAGUAUAUAUAAUUACUUACAGCAAGCUGCCAGGCCAGAUUUUCUGAGCAUUAGUCUAAUUAACUUAAGCUUGAUAAUUAUGUUCCAGAUACCAGAGCAGUAUACACAGAAUUUGCAGAUUAAUGCCACUAGCUUAUUUGAUUCCUAUAUUAUGUCUUCUCAGACAGUGGGUUCAUUUUUUUGGGUUUUUGUUUUAAUGGCCAUCUGAUAAUUACUUAGGUUUCAAAGUUUUCCCUCAAACAAAAUCAUUCUGCUAUUUUAGAUAGCUUCUCCGAUAAUUAACACAGACUGGACUGAAAUAAUAGAUUUCUGUGUAUUUUUAGUCACAAAAAUCUUUUUUUUUUUAACCUUAUAUAAGCUCAGGCUGAGGAAAUAUUAAAGAAUAAAACGUUCUGAUGGUCAAAUGCAGAACCUUCCAUGUUCUGACCACUCUGUGCUUUCUUUGCCUUUCGCAUUUCCAUUUGCCUUUGGGUUGAUGAAAAAUAAGAAGAAAAAAAAGGAAGCAGAAGCAGCAACAGACACAGAAAACCCCUGAGACGAGUAGGUGAGAAAGAUCAGUUUCUGCUAGAAUGAGGGCAUGAUCCAUUCCCACAAGGAUAAUAACCAGUUACCUUGCUAAGUGAGUUUGCUAAGUGCCAGGCAUGGUGUUAAGCCCUUUCUGUAGAUUAUCUCACCUAACCACCCUGACAACCUUGUGUGGCGGGUAUGUGUUACGGGCUGCAUUGCAUCCUCCCCUAAAAUACGUUGGAGUCCCAACCUGCAGGCCCUCAGGAGGCACCCUUGUUUGGAAACAGGGUCUUUACAGAGGUAGUCAGUUUCAAAGAAGGUCGCUGAUAGUGGACUGAUGUCCUCUGACAAAGGGGAUACACGGACCCGGAGACAGCCACACACACAGGGAGAAGCCCACAUGAAGAUGAAGGCAGAGGUCAGGGCGAUGGCCCACAGGCCAAGGAGUGCCAGGGACUGCCCGCAGACUGCUACCAGCGAGGAGAGCGCCCUGGAACAGAUUUGCGCUCAGAAGGAUGCAAACCUGCUCAUAGUCUGAUCCCAGAUGUCUAGCCUCCAGACCUGUAAGACGACAGAUUUCCUCUGCUCAAGCCACAGAGCAUGUGGCACUCUCUGAUGGCAGCCCUAGCAGACGAACACAGUACAAAUAUUCUGACUCCCCAGGGUACGGAGGCCGAGGCUCAGAAGAGCUGUGCGAUGAGGCCACACGUGAGCCACAGCGCUGUCACAGGCAGGGGUGGAGGCCAUACCCAGGCUAUUCUGCCUCCCCAGCUCCUGCCCUUGGCCCCACCUGCUGCUUCUGCCCCAGAGGACGGUGAGCAUCGGUGCAGCGAAUCCCAGGAACGGCUGGCGUGCCGUGGCUGCCUCAGUGCUUCUGAAUGAAGAGUACAGCUGACGUGGUGGCUAUUUCCAAGUUUAUAUGCAGCUUUUAUUUAAAACAGAAUGACUGCUGGAAAUACCUGCUUUCUUGUUUCCGUGGGCAACUAAACAGAAUUUACCUUUUUGUAGAGUGAGGGCAGCGGUCAUACUCUGUUCUCUCCCCACCUCUAACAUGAGAAGAUAAUGGGCCAAAAUCUCACUCGCCAACGAUGACAAGCAUGAGGGGACCACAGCAAAUAACAGCUCAAACCAGUGACUAAGAGGUGGGAGCGAAGGACAGGCGGGCUUUUCCAAGAUGUCACAACAGAGGCAAAGAGCAAGGCAGAGAACAAGCCUGCUUCAGAGAGGCCACGGACACAGACUGUCUUGGGAAGAGAGGCAACCUUGGUCCAGGAACAAAAGCACAGGAAUAAGAAGGAAAAAAAGAAAAAGAAGACAAUUCUCUGAGAAUGACUCCUGUAAUGAAUCCGAUAGAGAGCCUGACGCCAGAUGAAGGAAGCUCACGUGCACUGAGGGCCUGUUACAGCUGCUGUGUGUGUGACAGUGAAACUAUUCACUUCUCCCCAAGAGUCUCGUGAAGCAGACGCUGUCAUCACCCCCACUUGGCAGGAAAUGGGGGCUCUGAGCAGUGAAAUCCUUAGCCCAAGGCCGCCCAUCUCCCUGGCCCAGCUGAUCACUGGCAGUGCCCACGGAGGAGAGCAACACAGAGGGGUCACCCUAGGACACGACGGAAGUCUUCAGGAGAACCGCCUCCCUCCUUCUGGACACAUCGUGUCGAUGUGUGUCUUGGUAUGUGUACAAGUUCACAUUUAAAACUACAGGCAACUCACUGCAGAGAAUUUUCACAAAUUCCAAAUUACAUCCCAGUUCUUUCAGAAUAGGAGCUCUUAUUUUUAGGCAUGACAGCACCUUUGAGAAUCUGAUCAAAGCUAUGACUCCUUUUCCUAGAAAAAUGUGUGCACAAACACAGGCACUUGACAUGAUACUCCCCUGGGGGCUCCAUGGGUGACAAGCUUUUCAACCUACAGAGGAUCCUUUUGGCCCCAAGGAGCCCAGCGAUAUCUCGGCACUACUGAGAUGUGUAAUGUGUCAUCGGGCACCUGGAUCGGGGCAGUUCCGCUCCUCGAUCACUGGCGGGCAUUUCUGUGUUACUGCAUCUGACUCUGCCACUCUGGGGAGCUCUACUGCUCCUCUUCCAUCUUUAUUCCCAUCAGUGUCCUGCACAGCAUAGCUGUAACACGAAUGUCUUCUGGCCUCUGGGUUUCAACUCGAAUGUAACCCCUUCCUGGCAACACCCUAAGUUGCCUGCCCCUCUCCAGUCCCACCAUAGUAGGUUUCCUUCAGAGCGGGGCUGUGGGCAGCCCUGUACCCCAGGUGUGGCCCACAGACCAGCGCCAUCUAUGGGCUUGUUAGAAACGCACACCUUAGCCUCCAGCCUGUGCGCGUUAAGUACUUAGAGUGCCUGGUCCAGCUCCGGGAGCCACUACCCCGAGGGGCUGCAGAGCACUUGAAACAUGGCUAGUCUGCGCUGAGAUGUGCUAGAAGGAUAAGUUGUAUACCCGAUUUAGAAGACAGUGCAAAAAAGAAUGUGAAAUAUCUCAUCAGUAAUUAUCACGUGAGCUGUUGAAAUUAUAAUAAUAUGGAUAUUUUGUGUUAAAUAAAAAAUAUUAUUAAAAUUAAUUUUAUGUUUCCUUUUUUUCAAAAAAAAAUGGUGACCAUAAAGUUUAAAAUUACAAGGGUGUCUCAUAUUGUAUUUAUGUUGCAAAGGGCUGCUUUGAAGCGUUGAGAAGGGCUGGUUUAGGAUAACGGGCAGGAACCGGUAUUGACAAAGCUACAGCCGCGGGGUCCAUUCUGGCCCUGUGCCUGUUUUGGUAAAUAAACUUUCACUGGAGCACGGCCAUGCUCGCUCACUGCGUAUGGUCCGUGAGUGCCUCCCCUCCGUGCUCCAGGAGCAGAAGUAAGCAGGUGCGACAGAAACUGCACGGCCUGCUGAGCAUAAGUAUUUACCUGGCUCUUCACGGGAGAAGUUUGCUGACCCCUGGUUGGGAGCCUUGCUUCCAGAGGGGGACGGCCUGGCUCCAAGUCAGGUCUCCACCACUUUCCAGUACCUGAUGUUGGGCAAGGUACUUCAUGUCUGUUUCUUACUACCGUGUCUGAAAAGAGUACCUAUCUUACUGAGUUGAUAUAAAGUUAAAAUCAAUUCAUAAUGUGAAAUUCUUUCAAUUGUGCCUCGCACUUAGUAUGUUUGCGGUAGGGAAGAACAAAUCUGAUUCCGUAUUAGAUCUGUUCCUUUAGCUCUCACCCUGUGCUCCGUUUCCUGGGCUCAGUCAUGCUGGUUCCGCACCUUUUGUAAAACAAAUGUUGCUUGUAGCCUGAAAUAUACAGGAGAGUCCAUUCUCAAGGCUCUGACCUUUAAGGGCAUUAUCACUUUUCCAUUCGUAUAGAGAUAAAAAGUUGCCUAACAGAGAAUAACACUGGUCUCCUUGGAGGUUUACAGGAACAUCGUGACCUGACCUUUGUGGACAGAGGCAAGAACACAAGAUUCCAGCACCAAGAGGUCUGCAGUAACCAACCACAUCCCCUCCCCUUUUUAGCACAAGAGGAGUCUGAAUUCUGACUUGGGAAAAAGUGAUCGUGGCUAUCAUCCUCUGAAAACAGAGAUGCUUGUUUUCUGGGCAGGCUUGGAGAUUAGCCAAGACAGUGUGACGAUUCUGGGCACUUCACCACACCUGCUGGAGGACCGGACUGAGCGAGCUGCCCCUGUGGAUGCACGGGAUCUGCCUGUGGAGAGUCACCCCCAGCCUCCCGAGAGCCAGCGCAGCAGAGCCUGGGGGGGCUGGGAGUCUGGGGGGCUUCUUUGGAGCUACUGCCUCCUCCAGCUGGCUGUCUGCUCUGGCGUGAUUCCAGUCCUGGAGGACCCAGAGGACGCCACGCUUCCCUACUCCCAACCUCCUGGUCCCACAACACACACAGCUGUAAUAACACACAGGUUCUUAAGGGCAAAUAAUAGUUUCCUGAUGGAAGAGCCUGCCCACCACGGUGUCCACUCGCUGCCCUCACCGGACACUUUUGGCCAUUCUCACUGUCCCACCAGGGUGCCUCAGCCUCCAUCAGCCUCAGGCACUAGUCACAUUUGGGGUCAGUUAAUUCUCAGUGGUGGGGACAGUCCUGUGUAGCAGCAUCCUGGGUCUCCGCCUACUUGAGGUGACUAGCACACCUCUCCUUACCACUUGUGACGUCCACGAAGGUCUCCGGACCUUGUCAGAUGUCCCCGGGGUAAACCACCCCAGUGAAAAGCAAUGUCCUAAGACAAGUGGGAAAUGAUGGGAGAAAAUGACAACUCCCUCAGCCAUGAGGAACCAAAGGGGCUACAUUGUCACCAACUCUCAGGCCGGCUUUUCAGGUCCCACCUCCCAGGAAUCUCAGUGAACCAGAGACCUCUUAGCAAGCGGGAAGGGGGCCCGCGGAGGGCAGUAAGGGCUGAGUUGAGGACUAUGGAUUCUUUGGCCAAAAAAAAAAAAGAUGUAAGAAUGACUGGACGGACUGAACUCUCUCUAGAGUGAAUGUCUAGCAGCCACAUCAUGUGGAAAUAGUUCUGAGCACCCACUAUAUUCCUCAUCCGUCAAUCAUUUGACAGAUUUUUUUGCCUCUCCCUUCCCCAGUCACUCUUCCAGUUUUUGCCCGCAUCUUCUUUCCCCGGGGCUCCUGAAAGCAUCCUGUCUUUGCUUUCCUCUGGCCUUGCUUCUCACCACCCGCUCCUCCACCACCACCCAUGCAGGUGGGCCGUCUUUCUGAAAUGCAGAUCCGAUCACCCCAGCCAGCCAUUGGCUUGCUUCCUCGGCUUUCUGUUCUUUCAGAAUAAAAUCCAAACUCCUUAUCAGGACUGCAAAGCUGUGAAUUACCGUUCUCAGUUCAUUACCUACAGCUCUAAGUUCCCACUCCACGGGACCCUCUUGGUUACUCCCAAAGUGCGGGACGCACUCCUGUCUGGUGCCCAAGGCGGUUACAGACAGCACAGAGACACGGCCUCACAGAGCGUGGGUUUUCACGGCGGUAUUCAGUUCCAGCAUCCUUCCUCCUCGCACUCUCUCCGGGAGCACAUUCAGCGCAGUGUUUAUCCUUCACACGGCUCUAACGCUCCAUGGUCUCCCAUUUUAUACCAGAAAAGCACAGCCCUCAUGCUCGAACUACACCAUCCAGAUGAAAUUUAAUAACACCGUUUUAUUUUCCAUCGUGCCAACUUGUGUAGCUGCCUCCUGUUUAUGGCAUGUCACGCUGCUUUUCUGUUACAAGAAUGAUGAAACCUUUCCUUUUUCACUGAACGGAUUCAGGUAGGAAAAGGAAGUUGACUUGAAAACACACAAAGAGGAGUAGAAGCGGUUCUUAACAUAGCAACAACUGGGACCAACGACUGGUAUUUGGAAAACGAGGAGUUACAUGAACUUGCCCCAGACUCUUCCACAUCCCAGUCUUCCCUGUCCCCGCGACAGUCAAAGAAGGGGGAGUGGGCAGGAGGAGGACAAGAAUUGUUCCUCGUAAUCGCUCACGUGUUCCUUGGAGUUUGAUGCAGAUGUCACCCCACUGAAAUCUGAGUAAGCGCCCCACCCACGUGCCCCCCCAGCACCCUGGAUACCUGUGCCCUCGUGGCACCUGUGGGUUCUGGGUUCAUGUCUGUCCUGCCUACUGUGGUUUCUCCAGUGCCUGCUGUGAAGCUUGGCAGAGACAAGAUACUGGAUAAACCUAUCUUGGUUGAAUGGAGGAAAUGGAAACACAUCAUCUCUUUUAGCCAGAUCUGGCCACACCAAGAGAAGGGCAAAAUGAGGUGAGCAGAGAAUCCGUGUCACUGAGGACGUUAACCCUGCUCCCGGGAUGGAGAAGACAGGGAACUGAUGAUGAGAAUCACUCGGGCGCGUCAGAGCCCCACCCCUGCUGGCCACCGAAGCACUCGUGGCUUGGCGCGGCUGCGUCUCGGGUCCAGCCAGGGAGCACAGCAAAGGACCCACGGAAACCAGCAAGACAUCAGCUCGCCUGCUUCCAGUCCUUCCUUCCACCUGGGGCUUUACGUUUACAAACGCGUAGCACUUGAAGGUGUGUUUCCCCAGCCACUUCUGGAUUGUGACAAUUCCUUUCUUCCUACUGACAAAAUCUGAAACUUAGCCUGGAGCACUUUCCUGCCAAGGAGAGAACCGUGUCAGACUUGCGACGCGUGAUGAAAGACUACGGUAAUGUGGAAUAAUGCUCUGAAAUGCUGCCAGGGUGAGCGUGCGUGCACAAUGACUGAAACCGCCUGCACACACAAAUGGGAGCUCUGUGGCUCAUCUGUAACCACGACGCAGGAAAACUGAGAUAUUCUUUUCCCUCCUUUGCAAUUUGCACAGCCUCUCACUGGAAACUAUGGCGAUGACGCCGCUAAAAGUAACUGCUGUGUUUACCCCACGCGCAAUUUUCACUCACUAAUACGAUCUCUCCGCGCAGCCAUCCGUCUUGUGAGCGUCCCUCCGCACACUGAGCUGUUCCCGCACGUGCUGCUGCGAAGGCCUCACUGCAGACCUCGCACAAGCUGAGCACACGAGCUUCUGGGAGGGCGGGGGCGCCAUUCUGGCAGUGCAGAAAAUGACAGCCACCGUGCCCAUCUGAGAAACAAAGGUUGCGUAACUGAAUGGGAUCGGGUCCCCACUCCACAUCCCCCCAAAACACACACGCAAUGGUGCACUCAGUGGGAAUGACCAGCAGGUUGAGCUGCCUAAUUAGAAGAGGCAAAAGCCUGGGGUAUUUACUAUUGUGAGUCAGGUAUUUUGCCCCUUUUUAGGUAAAUCUCAUAACAUACUGUGUAAUAACUAGAAAGAUCUUUAUUUGAGAAAACUGAGGCUCAGAAGGGAUAACUAAUUCGCACAAGUUUUCACUUGGCAACUUGUGUCCCAGCUGGGAUUUACUCCGGGUCUGUGUGACUCCAGGGCUUGAAUUCUUUCCAUGAUGAGCUGACUAAAGUCAACUCCUUUCCUUCCUGGAGUUGUGGUUAAAUCUUCAUUAUCUGCGGUCCUUAAAUAUUAUUUGUUGGUUGUCAUGUACCCGUAACUAGAAGACUACCUGAAGCAAAAGGUACUUAUUCAUGAAGAAAGAACCAGUAGCCCAGAGAAGUAAUUUCUCACGCACAAAUACGAACAAGCAGUAGAAGAAAAAAAAUUCCAACACAUUUCAAGGGCAUCUCUCUGACUCGUUAUGAAAAGAGAAACCCCCUUUUCGUUUUCUACAAAGGGCAAGUAACAAAAUUAACUCACUGAUAGACUGAGUAGUUCACUUUUGCUAAGGAAACAGCAGUUACCAUGGAUUAGGUACCUCCUAUAUGCCAGGGAUCACACGAGGCGCUCUGCAUGAAGGAUAACGUAGUCCUUACAACCCGAUGAUGGAGGCACUGCUAUCAGCCCCGCUGGACAAAUGUGGAAACCGAGGCUCAGAGCUUAUGUAUCUUGGCAAGGUCGGUCAGCGAGGUCGGGGAUUUAAACCCAGGCUUCUCUGGCUCUGAAGCCGUGUUCUCGUCUGCUAUGUUACCUCGUCCUCUGCAAGCCUUUCCUAGCCAGCAUCUUUGUGUUGGAUAAGUAAGGGAAUCAUUUUAUCCAGGAGUAAAAAUGAGAAAUUCUGGGAAAGCGACUUAGUGUUUCAGGAAGAAGCCUCAUUUUAAGAACGAAGCAGGCUGGUGAGUCAUCGUGAGUCACGGUGCGACAUCAGCCCCCCUGGGGCUCGCCUUCCUGGUUUGCAAGCUGAUGUUGGUGAAGAACAGAGUCUGUGAGGACCGUUCUCGCCCCCACGUUCUGCAAUUCUGUUAAACAGGUUCCCCUCUCAUACCCCUUUCCUGGGUUGUGAUUUUUCGUUCUCUCAUGGCCAGUAGACUUCAGCUACAUCCAAGACUGGACUGCCCUCUGGUUCACGAUCAUCUGAACAUCUUGCCUUGAUUGCAGCCACUGUGGCAGCUCUCCCUGAGGUUGUCUAGUCAGCUCCCCUGGGCUUUCCGGACACGCAGACAGUGUAUCCAGGGCUGAAAGUGCUCCCCUUCUCCUCUCACUCCUGCUCGGGACUCCAGCCCCGCAGCCUUCUUUCAGGUCUUCAGAUGGCCUCCUGCCACCCCAGAGUCCCUGCACGUCUGCUCCCCCGCCGGGAACACACUUGCCCCCCCACCUCCUGAGACUGGCCGUCCUGCCACCUUCAGAUCUCAGCCCCAGGGCUACCUGUUCAAAGACGCCUUCCUUGUCUGACCCCUUGACUAAUGAGGCUCCUUCAUGAUGGAUUGGCCCUUUCCUUGAGAACAGUUCUCCAAACUGGUCCCUGUUUGCUCGGAUGGAUCAGUGCCUGGGUCUCCUACUAGACUCACGUUUGUCUCCCCAGCACCCAGCCCAGGGCGUGACUCGGAGGGGCCUCUCAGAACGUGUUGGUGGAAGAACUGGCACCUUGACCUACGCCCCAGUUUUCCCUUGCUGAGGAGGUGCAAGAAGGGAGGGUGGGAAACCAAUUCACAGUGGGCUUCCACGGCUAGAGCUCCUCUCAGCCCAUUAAGUGAUGUCCCAGAACCAGGUUCUCUGCUGAACUAAUUUUGAUGUUUUUUUUUCCCCAUCUACCAACAGCAAGUAAUCUUGCAGAUCAAUGCCUGAGACCAAAGAGACUUAUGGAAUGUGAAGAUUAUGCACAUAAAUGUACCAACUAUGACAACUGCGCUAAUGUCGUGCCGAGCGCUAGUUUAUCAACCUUUGCCACUUACAAAAUUCACAGCCAAUUUAUUUAAAAAUACAACAGCUCGGAAAGCUGCUAAAAUGACUACGACAACAAUCCAUCAUUCUGUAAUAGUGUUGAAGAUCCAUUAGAAAUGUCACACUAGAUGCCACAUUUUUUUAAGCCCAGAUAGUAGGGGCAUUUCAUUCCACACAAUUAAUGUCACUGCCUUAAAAUAUUGGCUAUCUAUAAAGAAGAAAAUACCAAACAUCUUUAUAACCCACAUUUUUUAUGGUCAAAACUUGCUUAGAAAGGUGCUUUGAAUUUAUU